UACCCUACUCCCGUAGGGUUUAGAGUCGUCGGGCCUCUCGGAGAAGCUCGGUCCUGAACUCCACCCUUGAAUAAACUACCUUUGUUGCUUUGGCGGGCCGCCUCGUGCCAGCGGCUUCGGCUGUUGAGUGCCCGCCAGAGGACCCCAACUCUUGUUUUUAGUGAUGUCUGAGUACUAUAUAAUAGUUAAAACUUUCAACAACGGAUCUCUUGGUUCUGGCAUCGAUGAAGAACGCAGCGAAAUGCGAUAAGUAAUGUGAAUUGCAGAAUUCAGUGAAUCAUCGAAUCUUUGAACGCACAUUGCGCCCUCUGGUAUUCCGGGGGGCAUGCCUGUUCGAGCGUCAUUAUAACCACUCAAGCUCUCGCUUGGUAUUGGGGUUCGCGGUUUCGCGGCCCCUAAAAUCAGUGGCGGUGCCUGUCGGCUCUACGCGUAGUAAUACUCCUCGCGAUUGAGUCCGGUAGGUCUACUUGCCAGCAACCCCUAAUUUUUUUAAGGUUGACCUCGGAUCAGGUAGGGAUACCCGCUGAACUUAAGCAUAUCAAA
rnacentral:rRNA from 1 species